AAGUCGUAACAAGGUUUCCGUAGGUGAACCUGCGGAAGGAUCAUUAAAGAGUUAGGGUCUCUCAGGCCCGACCUCCCAACCCUUUGUUUACUGAACCAUUGUUGCUUCGGUGGGUCCGUCUCGCGACCGCCGGGGGGGACCCCUCCCUGGCCCGCACCCGCCGAUAGCCCAACCUUUAAAAUCCUUUAUGAAUCGUGUCUUAUGUCUAAAUCAUGAUAAUAAAUCAAAUCAAAACUUUCAACAACGGAUCUCUUGGUUCUG
rnacentral:misc_RNA from 1 species